GACAAAUGCCCUGCUUCCAGGAAAAGCCUCUAAGCAUCAGGUAACAUCAAAUCGUACCCCAAACCGACACAGGUGGUCAGGUAGAGAAUACCAAGGCGCUUGAGAGAACUCGGGUGAAGGAACUAGGCAAAAUGGUGCCGUAACUUCGGGAGAAGGCACGCUGAUAUGUAGGUGAAGCGACUUGCUCGUGGAGCUGAAAUCAGUCGAAGAUACCAGCUGGCUGCAACUGUUUAUUAAAAACACAGCACUGUGCAAACACGAAAGUGGACGUAUACGGUGUGACGCCUGCCCGGUGCCGGAAGGUUAAUUGAUGGGGUUAGCGGCAACGCGAAGCUCUUGAUCGAAGCCCCGGUAAACGGCGGCCGUAACUAUAACGGUCCUAAGGUAGCGAAAUUCCUUGUCGGGUAAGUUCCGACCUGCACGAAUGGCGUAAUGAUGGCCAGGCUGUCUCCACCCGAGACUCAGUGAAAUUGAACUCGCUGUGAAGAUGCAGUGUACCCGCGGCAAGACGGAAAGACCCCGUGAACCUUUACUAUAGCUUGACACUGAACAUUGAGCCUUGAUGUGUAGGAUAGGUGGGAGGCUUUGAAGUGUGGACGCCAGUCUGCAUGGAGCCGACCUUGAAAUACCACCCUUUAAUGUUUGAUGUUCUAACGUGGGCCCCUAAUCGGGGUUGCGGACAGUGUCUGGUGGGUAGUUUGACUGGGGCGGUCUCCUCCUAAAGAGUAACGGAGGAGCACGAAGGUUGGCUAAUCCUGGUCGGACAUCAGGAGGUUAGUGCAAUGGCAUAAGCCAGCUUGACUGCGAGCGUGACGGCGCGAGCAGGUGCGAAAGCAGGUCAUAGUGAUCCGGUGGUUCUGAAUGGAAGGGCCAUCGCUCAACGGAUAAAAGGUACUCCGGGGAUAACAGGCUGAUACCGCCCAAGAGUUCAUAUCGACGGCGGUGUUUGGCACCUCGAUGUCGGCUCAUCACAUCCUGGGGCUGAAGUAGGUCCCAAGGGUAUGGCUGUUCGCCAUUUAAAGUGGUACGCGAGCUGGGUUUAGAACGUCGUGAGACAGUUCGGUCCCUAUCUGCCGUGGGCGCUGGAGAACUGAGGGGGGCUGCUCCUAGUACGAGAGGACCGGAGUGGACGCAUCACUGGUGUUCGGGUUGUCAUGCCAAUGGCACUGCCCGGUAGCUAAAUGCGGAAGAGAUAAGUGCUGAAAGCAUCUAAGCACGAAACUUGCCCCGAGAUGAGUUCUCCCUGAGACUUAGAGUCUCCUGAAGGAACGUUGAAGACGACGACGUUGAUAGGCCGGGUGUGUAAGCGCAGCGAUGCGUUGAGCUAACCGGUACUAAUGAACCGUGAGGCUUAACCUU
rnacentral:rRNA from 1 species